AGGUCUUGACAUCCUUUGACCACUCUAGAGAUAGAACCUUACCAAGGCUUGACAUGCAGGGUGAAACCCGUGAAAGCGGGUGCUCUUCGGAGCCUGCGCAGGUGGUGCAUGGCUGUCGUCAGCUCGUGCCGUGAGGUGUCGCCUUAAGUGGCGCAACGAGCGCAACCCCUGUCCUUAGUUGCCAGCGGAUCAUGCCGGGAACUCUAGGGAGACUGCCGGUGCCAAACCGGAGGAAGGUGGGGAUGACGUAGACGUCAUAACC
rnacentral:misc_RNA from 1 species